GAUCAGUGAUGAAAAUAGCCAAAUCUGAUCAUCAGACCUUCUAGUCUAGCUGAUGCAUGAUCUCUGUAUGUCUGAGA
ensembl:snoRNA